GCCAUAUUUGAUUAUCUUGGCUGGAAAUCCCAAGAUUUCGAAGAUUUCCAAACGUUUUAGCGCUUUCCUUGGCGUCUUCCCAUGUUUUAUAGAUCAGUGAACCAUGAGUUGACAUUUGGUGUAUUUCAGACGCCUGUACUACGUUUUACUUUUGUGCGUGAAGGAGAACGCCAGUGGAAACUUCAUACUCCAAACGAUGAGUUCUUUUACUGGGAAGUUUCGAGAGUAUCCCACUAUUUCAGCGGACAAUUUCGAAAAAAAAAACCUUGACAGUUUGGCGUUCUUCCUUUCCCACUGCCAUAAAGAUCAUAUGUCUGGAUUGGACUCUGUUAAUCUACACCACAGAUUUAUGUCCAGGCAGGGAUGGCCGACCGGUUAGCUCAGUGGUAGAGCACCGAACCAGCAUGUGGGAGGUUGCGGCUUCAAACCCCAGCCGGACCAAUACUCAGGGUCUUAAAAUAAUUGAGGAGAAGGUGCUGCCUUUGUAAUGACAUCUGCAAAUGGUUAGACUUUCUAGUCUUCUGGGAUUAAGAUGAUAAACCAUAGGCCCUAUCUCACAGCUCUUCACAAUUAAUUCUGUGGGACAUGAAAGAACCCACACACUGAUCGAAAAGAGAAGGGACAUACCUGUAGUUCCCCGUGUGGUGGUCUGUCUCUCAUCUGAUGGCUAAAUGCUCGGAGGUAUUAGCUGCAUAAGCUACUUUGAAAUCUGAGGGUAAAUAAAGAAAUGUAAUGUUACAUAAUAUAAAUGGCAGCUCUAACAUAGGUUUACAUUUAGGAUUUUCAGCAGGGCUCUCUUUAACGACAGUAACACCUGUUGUGGCUGAGUGUACUUGAUUUUUCCUUGAUGUUACGGGUGAAACUGUCUGUUGUUGAUAGAAUUCACCCACAAAGUAACAAGUUUGCUAUGGGUGUAGAGAACAAGGAAACAUGAAAUUUUGAGAUUUAGUAAAGAGUUUACUCUGUAUGUACUGUACAAUGUAUAUGAACCAAACUAACAAAUUCUGCCUUUAUCUCUCCCCUUCUUCUUCUCUUUGAAGAAUUCCUGAAAUUUUCAACUUAGUAUCCGAAUACCUCCUUAUAAAUUUCCAUUUUGGUCACUGAAGAAUUCUCCCGAUCCUCGACUGCUGGUUAUAUCUUAUGCAAUAUCCCAUGCUAGGGGAAUCACCACUUCUUCUGUUGAUAACAGUUUUACAUUUUCUUUUCCUUUCAACAGCACAACUGUGUUUCUCUACUGUUCAGAAACAACAGAAAAUUUGUUGAUGUGCAACCCAUCAUACAGUCAUCUCAAAAAUUAUAUUCGCAGUAUACCACUGGAGCAGCAAACCAUUAUUCCACUUCUUGAUGACAAGACAGAUAAACAAAGUUGUGUUUGUGUAACACUGUUGCCUGCAGGACACUGUGUUGGAUCUGUCAUGUGAGUAUGUACUGUACUGUAAUGUACAUAUCAGGAACAAUGAGAAAUAUAGCAUACAAUGCAGUCGAGUGGAACCUAAGGGAGCAAUGACAACUGCAAUGUCACAAAACAAAAUGGUCUAAUACUGCACAAAUUCAGCAAAUUAUGCUCUAUAUAACUCAAAUUUAGGCUUUUAGUCAGAUGGACAUGGACUGAAUGCUGAAAAAGCUCUUCAUACAGGAAUGCUUGCUACACAGGCCAAAUUGCUCACUUUUAAAGAAUUUGUUUCCAUGUUACAUUAUAAAUUCUUCAUUUGAGCAGACCCUAUAUAGCACAUUUUGGAUGCCCACUUAAUUCAAA